AGACGGUGUCUCACUCUGUCACCCAGAGCUUUUUGCUCUAAUGCUGAUAUGGAAGGUCCUUGUAUAUGUAUUUCUUCUCUGUCACCCAGGCUGGAGUUCAGUGGCUCAAUCUUGGCUCACUGCAACCUCUGCCUCCUGGGUUCAAGUUAUUCUCCUGCCUCAGCCUCCCGAGUAGCUGGAACUACAGGUGCCCACCACCACGCCUGGCUAAUUUUUGUAUUUUUGGUAGAAAUGGGGUUUCUCCAUGUUGGCCAGGCUGGUCUCAAACUCCUGACCUCAGGGUGAUCCAUCUGCCUUUGCCUCCCAAAGUGAUGAGAUUACAGGCAUGAGCCACUGCAUCCGGCCUAAUUCCUUUUUUUUUUUUUUUUUUUUUUUUUUUUUUGAGACGAAAUUUUGCUCUAUUGCCCAGGCUGGAGUAUGCAGUGGUGCAGUCUCAGCUCACUCCUGCCUCUGCCUCCCAGGUACCUGGGAUUACAGGUGCCCACCACCACGCCUGGCUAAUUUUUUGUAUUUUUAGUAGAGACAGGGUUUUGCCAUGUUGGCCAGGUUGGUCUCGAACUUCUGGCCUCAGGUGAUCCGCCCGCCUUGGCCUCCCAAAAUGCUGGGAUUACAGGCAUGAGCCACCUUACCCAGCCUAAUUCCUUUUUUAAUUGAGAUAUUUACAUACUAUAAAAUUCACCCUUGUAUAUGAUUCGUGGCUUUUACUAUAUUCCCAAGGUUGUGCAGCCAUCACCACUAUCUAUUUCCUAGAACAUUUUCAUCACCCCCAAAAAGAAAUUUCAUACAUGUUAGCGGUCACUCCCCAUUUCCUCCAUUCCCCCAGUCCCUGGCAAUCACUAAUCUAUUUUCUGUCUCUAGAUUCACCUAUUCUGGACAUUUCAUAUUAAUGGAAUCCUACAGUAUGUGGCCUUUGUGUCUGUUUUCAAGGUUCUUGCAUGUUUCAAGGUUCAUACAUGUUGUAGCAUGUAGGAAGACUUCAUUCUUUUAUGUGGCUGAAUAAUCUAUUUUAUGGAUAUACCACAGUUUGUUUAUCCAUUUAUCAGUUGAUGGACGUUGGAAAUUGUUUCUACCUUUUGGCUAUUAUGAAUAAUGCUGCUGUGAACAUUCGUAUUAAGUUUUUAUGUGAACACAUGUUUCCAGUUUUCUUGGAUAUAUACCUAGGAGUAGAAUUGCUGAGUCAUAUGGUAAAUCUAUGUUUAGCUUUUUGAGGUACUGCCAAACUUUUCCAGCUGGCCUGUACCAUUUUACAUUCCCAUCAGCAGUGUAUGAGAGUUCCAGCUUUUCCGUAUCCUUGCCAUCACUUAUUAUUGUCUUUUUUACUAUAACCAUCCUACUGGGUGUGAAAUGGUAUCUCAUUGUGGUUUUGAUUUGCAUUUCUCUAAUGACUGAUGAUGUUAAGGAUCUUUUCAUGUGCUUCUUGUCCAUUCGUAUACAUAAUUCACGUGCUUAUUUUGUUACCGUUUUAGGGACUUAAGUUGGCUUUUGUUCUAAUGCUGAUAGGGAAGUUCCUUGUAUAUGUAUUUCUUCUCAGAAAACUUAGUUUCAAUACGUGCUUUUAAGAUAUUUUCUUUC
rnacentral:lncRNA from 1 species